rnacentral:rRNA from 1 species
GACGAACGCUGGCGGCGUGCUUAACACAUGCAAGUCGAACGGAAAGGCCCUGCUGUUGUGGGGUGCUCGAGUGGCGAACGGGUGAGUAACACGUGAGUAACCUGCCCUUGACUUUGGGAUAACUUCAGGAAACUGGGGCUAAUACCGGAUAGGAGCUCCUGCUGCAUGGUGGGGGUUGGAAAGUUUCGGCGGUUGGGGAUGGACUCGCGGCUUAUCAGCUUGUUGGUGGGGUAGUGGCUUACCAAGGCUUUGACGGGUAGCCGGCCUGAGAGGGUGACCGGCCACAUUGGGACUGAGAUACGGCCCAGACUCCUACGGGAGGCAGCAGUGGGGAAUAUUGCACAAUGGGCGGAAGCCUGAUGCAGCAACGCCGCGUGCGGGAUGACGGCCUUCGGGUUGUAACCCGCUUUCGCCUGUGACGAAGCGUGAGUGACGGUAAUGGGUAAAGAAGCACCGGCUAACUACGUG